rnacentral:misc_RNA from 1 species
GAUGAAGAACGCAGCGAAAUGCGAUAAGUAAUGCGAAUUGCAGAAUUCAGUGAAUCAUCGAAUCUUUGAACGCACAUUGCGCCCGCUAGUAUUCUGGCGGGCAUGCCUGUCUGAGCGUCAUUUCAACCCUCGCCCCCGGCUUUUGCUGGGAGCGGUGUUGGGGAUCGGCCGCCCGUCACUGGGAGGCCGGCCCCGAAAUAGAGUGGCGACCACGCCGUGUGGUCCUCUGCGUAGUAGUAAAUCACCUCGCAGGCGGACAGCGGUGCGGCCUGCCGUAAAACCCCCAACUCUUUCUGGUUGACCUCAGAUCAGGUAGGAAUACCCGCUGAACUUAAGCAUAUCAAUAAGCGGAGGA